rnacentral:lncRNA from 1 species
CCAAUGUAAAGACAUGAUCAAUCAACCACCCAUUCAUUUGUGGGCCUGUAUGCUCAACAGACAAUGUGAAGACAUGAUCAAUCAACCACCCAUUCAUUUGUGGGCCUGUAUGGCCAACAGACAACAUGUUUGGCAUCGGUGUGCUUCUGGGAGAAGGAGCCCCAUGACAGAUGCUUCCCCCAGAGAAUUGAAGAGGCCACCAGAGAGGGCACAGAGGACUGCAGAUGAGUAAGGAGUCAAGAAGCCAUCAAUUACUCUGAGAUGGUGAACCUGUAAGAGCAAAGUCAGAAGGCAAGCUCACCUCGCUUGGACUCUUAAAGAAAGACUUAUCCAAGACAUGCUGCAACUGUGAAGACAGAAAAAGAGGAAGUGAUGUGUUUCAGGGACAAUAGCCAAUUCCUACUUUCAGAAAUUCAUGGGUACACAUGAAAGAAAAGUUGUGUCACUGUGGUGUCAGGUUCCCUCAACUCUACUAUUGCUGUUGUGCAU